rnacentral:lncRNA from 1 species
AUGAAAAUCGAAUCGACUUCAACUCAGCCGAGUGCCACCUCUGCAGUUGCCUUAAACAGCGCCACUGCCAGUUCUAAACCAUCUUUCUCGUUUGAUUCUAGCUCAGUUUUCAAGCCUCCUGCAGCCGGAUUUUCAUUUGGACAAGCUGCUGCAGCUGAAAAACCGAAAGAAAGCUUGUUCGGCAAUGCUGAUAAACCGAAUCAAAGUCUGUUUGGCAACAUUGAGAAACCUAAAGAAUCCGUCUUUGGUGGUGUAGACAAACCGAAAGAAUCCGUUUUCGGUGGAAUUGAUAAGCCAAAGGAAUCCCUAUUCGGCGCAACUGAAGCUCCCAAAGAAAGCGUAUUCGGAGCAGCUGUCAAACCGCAAACAAAUCUGUUUGGAACUGUCGAGAAUAAAGUUGCUGUCAGCACUCCUCAGCUUGGGAAUAGUUUCGGAACUUCCGGUGGUUUUGCUUUUGGUAAUACCAGUUCAUCUGCACCAUCAAAUGCGUUUGCGUUUGGAGGUGCCAAGCCUGUGGAACCAGCUCCUGCAGCCCCUACUUUCGGAGCCGUCAAUUCUAAUAAUUCCGUCUUUAACUUCAAUGCAUCGUCAGAGGCUGCGCCUGUCUCUGCUUCUCCAUUUGGUGCUGCAAAUAAGAAUACAUUUUCUUCCCCAUUCCAGUCAACUGUAACAACAACCGCAGCUGAGUCAAAGCCUGUGUUUUCCUUCGGAUCUGCCGCAAGCACAGCCCCCUCUGCCCCAGCCAGUGGUGGAUUUUCAUUCUCAGCAAUGCCUCAGACAAAUAAACCUCAAGGAUUCAACUUCUCUGCCCCUCAGUCAAAUAAUACUCCGGCUAGUGGUGGUUUCUCCUUCGGUGCAGCCGCAGCUCCUAGCACUGCUGUGGCAGUUGUACCCAAACCAGAGCAGUCCUCUGUUUUCAUGCAACCACACCAGAACAACGUUUUUGGGAAUCCUGCAGCUCCAAACUCAAAUCCGUCUCCUUUUGGUGCUCCGGCCAAUCCUGCACCCUCAUUUGGAGCUCCAUCUCAACCUAGUUUCAACUUCGGAGCUAGCAGCACCGCUCCUGCUCCGCAGCCUGUUUUCAGCUUUGGCGGCCAGAAUGCCAAUGCUGCUGCACCUCCUGUCUUUGGCGCUCAGGCGACUAAUGCCGCACCGACGUUCAACCCCAAUCUUCACGUUCCAUCAACUUUCAAUUUCACGGGUGGAGCUCCACCAUCCUUCUCAGCAACACCAACAGGCGCUGCUGCAGCUUCAGGGAGGCGUAUAAAGAAAGCCGUAAGGCGGACGCAGCGAUAAAGUCAAGAGGCAACUGUUAAGGUGUCCUGUAAU